AAGCCAUAGGGGACCCCCAUGUCAUGUUCUAUAUAUUUCAUUGAAAAACGAUCUUGACCUGGUCAUGUUAUCAAUCCUGACCAUGUCAAGAUUUAAACAUGACCAAGUCAGGAUUUUUACCAUCUUGACCUGGUCAGGAUUGAUAACAUGACCAUCCUAUCCUGACCAAGUCAUGUUUCAAUGUUGACCAAGUCAAGAUUGGUAACAUGGCCAUCUUAUCCUGACCAAGUCAGGAUUUACAACAUGGCCAUCCUAUCUUGGCCAGGUCAUGAUUCAAUCUUGACCAAGUCAGGAUUGAUAACAUGGCUUAGUCAGGAUUGAUAACACGACCAAGUCAAGAUUGACAACAUGGCCAUCCUAUCUUGGCCAGGUCAGGAUUGAACAUGGCGCAGUCAAGAUUGAUAACAUGGCCAAGUCAAGAUUGAUAACAUGGCCAAGUCAAGAUUGAUAACAUGACCAUCCAAUCUUAGCCGGGUCGGGUCAUGAUUCAAUGUUGACCGAGUCAGGAUUGACAACAUGACCAUCUAUCUUGGUCGGUCAUGAUUGCAUUGCGCCAGCAUAUAUUACUUCCAAACGCAGUCAAGAUUUCUUCAAGCGUCAAUCCUGGCCAAGUCGGGAUGCAAUGUCAAGCGUCAAUCUUGGCUUAGUCAUGAUGUGUUUUUCAAACGCAGGCAAGAUUUAUGGUCAUGAUUGCAUUGCGCCAGGAUGUAUGACUUCCAAGCGCUGUCAAGAUUGCAAAUGCAAGCGCUUCCCUAACAACGAAAACCCGCUAAAAAAUGUGUAUUGGAUUUGCUCCUCAGCUGACAGUGACAAAUAACUACUAGGUUGCAGUGACUAGGUUGUACUGAACCAUCAACAAAACUCCAGAUAUCCAUGGCGCAUACAAUAUUUUAAGAUUGGUUAUAGACCUACAGUAUCUCAGAUUGACACAUGCUGUCAGACUGGAGUCUAUGGCUAUGGGAACCAUUUUGCAGUAAUUAAGAAUGUGCAGGAGAAAGUGGUACACUUCAUUUCAAUCGCAUCUUUCGACAAGCGGAAAUCCAUGGUCUACCUGGAAUAAGUUUAUUUGGCACCAAGACAACCUUUCUCCAAGGUCAAAGAUCAAAGGCCAGAAGUGAUGUCAGCUGGAAAAACACCACAUUGGGUCAAAGAUCAAAGGCCAGAACUGAUGUCAGCUGGAAAAAUACCACAUUGUGUAUUGGAUUUGCAAGAUAUUUAAUCAAUGCACCACUUUCAAGUUCAAAGUAUCAUCAAGGCCUACUCCAUGAAAUGCUGAAUAUUUCAUCAAUCUUAAUUUAUACAUACAGCUGAAUCCAGAAGAGGACAGUCUUAGUAGGUCAUACAGAAAAGAACUCAACAGAAAUAGUUAUUGAAUUUCAAAUUUAAAGUAAAUGAAGCCUUUACCAGUUGCAGAAGCUUAGGCUAUCCUCUGAGAUAGUGAGAGAAUUGACAAUUGAUAUAUAAAAAAAGAAACCUUUAUUGAUUUUUUCCCAAAAAUUCAGCUCAGAUAUGAGAUGUUGAGCUCAAGAGAAUUCUUAGCUCACCUGAGCUGAAAGGUCCUAAGACUAUAAACUGAGAGCAAACUUAAAAUUUCAAAGGGAUAUAAUUAGCUAUACCUGUCAGAGACCAUAAGAGAUUAUGCGAUAUUAAGGCAUACGUCGUCCAUCUGUCUAGCUGUCCGUCCGUCUGUCUGUAAACAAUUUUUCAAAAUGCUACUCCUCCUACAGUUUUCAUCUGAUUUCAAUAUAACUUGGCACACAGGUAGACUAUACAAAGAUACAUAGUUCAGUGCAUCAUUUUUUUUUAUUUUGAUGAACGGUGUUGCCAUGGUUACUAAAAAUAAAAAUUUCUGUGAAAUUUUCUUCAAAAUGCUACUCUUCCUACAAUUUUGGUCUGAUUUCAGUAUAACUUAGCAUUUAAGUAGACUACACUAGGAUACAUAAUUUAAUGCAUCAAUUUUUGAUUUCGAUGAAGUGUUGCCAUGGUUACUAAAAAUCAAAAUUUCUGUGAAAUUCCUUUAAAACGAACUCCUUCAAUUUUGGUUUGAUUUCAACAUAAUUUGGCACACAACAUGCACAAGUACACUACACAAAGAUACAUAAUUAUGUUCCCCAAACGAAGUUGGGGAACAUAUUGUU